GCUUGUCUCAAAGAUUAAGCCAUGCAUGUCUAAGUAUAAGCAACCUUAUACAGCGAAACUGCGUACAGCUCAUUAUAUCAGCAAUUAUUUAUUUGAAGAUCACCUAUUACAUGGAUAACCGUGGUAAUUCUAGAGCUAAUACAUGCGAAAAGACGGGCCGCAAGGCUUGUUGUAUUUAUUAGACUUAAGCCAAUAUUCCUUGUGUCUAUUGCGAUGAUUCAUAAUAACUGAUCGAAUCUCAAAUUUGAGAUAAAUCAUUCAAGUUUCUGCCCUAUCAGCUUUCGAUGGUAGUGUAUUGGACUACCAUGGCAGUAACGGGUAACGAAGAAUUAGGGUUCGAUUUCGGAGAGGGAGCAUGAGAAACGGCUACCACAUCUAAGGAAGGCAGCAGG
rnacentral:rRNA from 1 species